rnacentral:rRNA from 1 species
UACGGAGGGCGCAAGCGUUGCUCGGAAUCACUGGGCGUAAAGCGAACGCAGGCGGACCUUUAAGUCGGGUGUGAAAUCCCGGGGCUCAACCCCGGACGUGCAUUCGAAACUGGAGGUCUCGAGUACGGGAGAGGGAAGUGGAAUUCCUGGUGUAGAGGUGAAAUUCGUAGAUAUCAGGAGGAACACCGGUGGCGAAAGCGGCUUCCUGGCCCGAUACUGACGCUCAUGUUCGAAAGCGUGGGGAGCAAACAGG